AAGAAAAGAAAGGAAAAAGAAAAAAAAAAAAGAAAGGAAAAGAAAAAGGAAAAAAAAAAGAAAACCGUGCACAGCUUAGUUUAAGCUGCUGUCUCCCUCCCAGAGUGACAUGGUGUUCGGGGCUCGUCCUGUCCUUUCAUUCACUUCCCCUCCUUCCAGCCAGUGGGUGGAACCGAGAGAACCUCUCCGGGGAGCAGCGUACGCAGUCCAGAAGGCUGCAGUAUUUCCUCCAAGAAAAAAAAAAAAAAAAAAAAAAAAAGGCUGCUUCAACCCCUGCUGCAAGCAAAGUUCCGAUUCCCUCUGCUGGCUAUCUCGAAUAGCAAAGCGAUUUUUGCAGCAAACCUGCUGCCGCUGGAACAGAAACUGGAGAACUCAGUUGCAGGGGGGUGGUGGAUUAUUUCUUAUCCUUCCCUCCAUCUACCCCGCACCAGAGCUGCCUGCUUUUCUUUCCCUGCCAAGUUCCGAGAAGCACCAGUAGCCAUGGCAAUUCACAAGGUGAGAUACUCCGUCUGAAAUAGUUUUUAUAUCAUUUCUGCUCUGUUGGAGCAGUAGUGCUUCCCAUUUAAAUGAUCAAGUUAAGGUAGGAGGUAACUGGUUUAAGGCACUCUCUAAAUCAGAAGCCAGCUGCGUCCUGCUUGCCAAUGAGCCAACAAAUUUUGAACAAAUCCAAGAACAGCAACCGGCAUCAUAAGGCCGUGGACACCCACCGAUCCACGUGAUACGCAGGCCAGGCAGAAGAGGCCCCGCUUUAGGAUGAGUUUUUGAAUACUGGCACGGAGAGGAUGCUUCAAACUCACCCCAGUGUAUACUACGUUGCUGACUCCUAUGAAGAUAUCUAAGAGUAUUGACUCCAGUGUGGGCGUCUUGAUUUUGAGUAACUGAGCCUGUUUCAUCUGCCAGAGAUGUGAUGCCUCCCUCUGGGCGCUGGACUGCCUGGCAUGCCGUUGGAGACAGGAACAGCUGGCACAUUCCACUCCAGACGUGUGCACAUUUCUCCAGCAGGUGCAAAGGUUUUCUUCUGAAGCAUACAAAUUCUAACCUAGGAAGAAGCUUUAUGGGCACUUUUUUAUUUUAUUUUUUGUAACGAAUAGAAGUAACUACCAGAAAAACCAGAAAUAAUAAAAGUGUCCAAAGCACAAAUACGAAUUGGGAAGAAUAUAGACUUUCAAUAAAGCCAGUCAGUUCUAAGGACUAUUUGUGCUCAAUGAACCUUAACAUGUUUCUGGAUUUGAAUGUUGACAGUAAGAAUAAAUAAUUCACAUGAAACAGGCAACCAUUGCACUUCUGAGUGAAAUACAGGUACACAUGCACAUAUACAUAAACAUACAUUGUAUCUGUGUAUCCCGACUCUCACCUCCUGUGACAAUCUUCCUUAAUUUGGAAUAAAAGUAGUUUUCCUAUGAAACCUUAUUUGACAGCUUGUGUUUAUCUCCAUUACAGUAGGCAACAUAUUUAUUGAAAAUGGGCCUAUUUCCUGUACCAAACAGGAAUCCUAUGAGGGGUCCUAAGUAUGUAUUUUUUCCAGCAUAUAGAGUAUAAUAGGUACUCAAUAAACAAAUUAAAUUACAUACUGCAUACUCAAUUUCUCUCAAGCUCUGUCCUCUAAAAUGCUACUUUUGAGAAAUGCAAGUCAGAAGUUUGUAGCCCAUUUUAACAUCUCCCCCGGGGAACCUGAGCUCUAGAAAAGAGGUAUCACUUUGGACAAGCUCAGUGGCUGUCCAAGUGUGGCGUGAAUGUGCAGCCCAUUGUGUCAAGGUGACACCAAAUUACACAGGAGCACAGAAGGAGUAGACAGAUGGGUGUCCCUGCCACCAUGCCUUGAAAUGCACACUGUGGGAUCCUCUGUACCUUACAGACCUCAGUGAUUCUGAAUCCUAUGGCCCAUCCCAAUUGUUGUCUUACUUUCCGUUUUGCUGUAAACAUUUUAGCAUUAACCUGGAUAACAAGCUACAAUACUGAAUUCUCUUUCUUCUUUCUCCAUUCCUGCUCUUCUGCCUUGGAACCCUUUCACAAUCUCAUGCAGAUAAAAAAAUGAAUGCUGAUAACUCAGGACAUCACCACAGAGAUACACAAGCUGACUAUCUGCAUAAACACAUAUGAUGUACCUGUUCCUCUACCACUUCAUCUUCUUUCCUGUCACAGAACAGAUAAGCAAGACAGCAAGAGAACUCCUAGAUAUGCAGGCUGUCAGAGUAUAUGCUAUGUUUAUUCCGGGAAUUGAAGAAGAGGGGAAAGACUGUGCCUUAAUGUGUUUUCCAAAAUUUUUAAUUAUGUUAGCUUUAAAUAUCAUAGAUUACCAACAUUUCCAGAGUCAUUUCCACUCUCAUAAACAGUGGAAAGAUCAAAAUUCUAUCUCUUUUGAGACUCUGCAGAUUAUCAUAAAUUAACUUAGAAGUCCCCGGUUUCUAUAUGUCUCAAGAUGACUUGAAUUCUAAUUUGUACCAUACAGCAAUCUCAAAAGUAUCAUCUGCAUGCUUAAAUUUUACUCUACUUUGGACUUUAAAGUGAAAAAAUAUUUUUGCAGUAGAAUGCAUCACUGCUGUCAUUUCAAAUAGACCAUCAUUAGGCAGUGCCCUUACCUAUGAGGAGGGUCUUAUGAACAAGAGUGUGCUGUGUUAUGUUCAUGUGACAUUGUGGACAGGGUGCUGUAGAGGAGGAUGGCCCUCCAGAGUUCACAUGGUCAAACUCACUGCAGAGGUGGCCCUUUGUCUCUGUGAGAUAGAGAAGGCAGUGAACAUGUGGAUUGAAAGGAUUUCUCAUCUGUUGCUUAAAGUACUGAUGAUGUUUUUAGAAAUUAUUUUAAGGAAGGUAAAACUAGAGAUUCUGAGAAGAUGGCGGAAUAGUAAGCAGCAAAGUAAAAAGCCUCUCUGAGUGAAAUAGCCCAGAUACUGGAAUAUAGCAUUCUGGUGAAGAUCAGAAGGAAAGAAAUGGAUCCUCAACCCAGGAAGAAACUAAGUGAGAAUUUAAGUCCACACAGAGAAGAAAGAAAGAAAGAAAGAAAGAAAGAAAGAAAGAAAGAAAGAAAGAAAGAAAGAAAGAAAGAAAGAAAGGAAGGAAGGAAGGAAGGAAGAAAGAAAGAAAGAAAGAAAGAAAGAAAGAAAGAAAAAAGAAAA